GAAACUUAGGAUAACACCCCAUAAACCGAAGGCCUUCAAAGCCUUAAAUAAGAGUUAGACCCUCUUAGUUUCUG
rnacentral:tRNA from 1 species